rnacentral:rRNA from 1 species
GGCCCUUCGGGGUACACGAGCGGCGAACGGGUGAGUAACACGUGGGUGAUCUGCCUUGCACUCUGGGAUAAGCCUGGGAAACUGGGUCUAAUACCGGAUAGGACCAUGCCAUGCAUGUGGUGUGGUGGAAAGAUUUAUCGGUGUGAGAUGGGCCCGCGGCCUAUCAGCUUGUUGGUGGGGUAAUGGCCUACCAAGGCGACGACGGGUAGCCGGCCUGAGAGGGCGACCGGCCACACUGGGACUGAGACACGGCCCAGACUCCUACGGGAGGCAGCAGUGGGGAAUAUUGCACAAUGGGCGGAAGCCUGAUGCAGCGACGCCGCGUGAGGGAUGACGGCCUUCGGGUUGUAAACCUCUUUCGACAGGGACGAAGCGUGAGUGACGGUACCUGUAGAAGAAGCACCGGCCAACUACGUGCCAGCAGCCGCGGUAAUACGUAGGGUGCGAGCGUUGUCCGGAAUUACUGGGCGUAAAGAGCUUGUAGGCGGUUUGUCGCGUCGUCCGUGAAAACUCAGGGCUCAACUCUGAGCUUGCGGGCGAUACGGGCAGACUUGAGUACUGCAGGGGAGACUGGAAUUCCUGGUGUAGCGGUGAAAUGCGCAGAUAUCAGGAGGAACACCGGUGGCGAAGGCGGGUCUCUGGGCAGUAACUGACGCUGAGAAGCGAAAGCGUGGGUAGCGAACAGGAUUAGAUACCCUGGUAGUCCACGCCGUAAACGGUGGGCGCUAGGUGUGGGUUUCCUUCC